rnacentral:rRNA from 1 species
UACGUAGGGUGCGAGCGUUGUUCGGAAUUACUGGGCGUAAAGCGCGCGCAGGCGGUCCUUUAAGUCAGAGGUGAAAGCCCAGAGCUCAACUCUGGAAUGGCCUUUGAGACUAGAGGACUUGGGUACGGGAGAGGUGAGUGGAAUUCCGAGUGUAGAGGUGAAAUUCGUAGAUAUUCGGAAGAACCCCAGUGGCGAAGGCGGCUCACUGGCCCGUUACCGACGCUCAGGCGCGACAGCGUGGGGAGCAAACAGG